rnacentral:rRNA from 1 species
AUUGAACGCUGGCGGCAGGCCUAACACAUGCAAGUCGAGCGGAUGAAGGGAGCUUGCUCCUGGAUUCAGCGGCGGACGGGUGAGUAAUGCCUAGGAAUCUGCCUGGUAGUGGGGGAUAACGUCCGGAAACGGGCGCUAAUACCGCAUACGUCCUGAAGGACAAAGUGGGGGAUCUUCGGACCUCACGCUAUCAGAUGAGCCUAGGUCGGAUUAGCUAGUUGGUGGGGUAAAGGCCUACCAAGGCGACGAUCCGUAACUGGUCUGAGAGGAUGAUCAGUCACACUGGAACUGAGACACGGUCCAGACUCCUACGGGAGGCAGCAGUGGGGAAUAUUGGACAAUGGGCGAAAGCCUGAUCCAGCCAUGCCGCGUGUGUGAAGAAGGUCUUCGGAUUGUAAAGCACUUUAAGUUGGGAGGAAGGGCAGUAAGUUAAUACCUUGCUGUUUUGACGUUACCAACAGAAUAAGCACCGGCUAACUUCGUG